rnacentral:rRNA from 1 species
AACGCGAAGAACCUUACCUACCCUUGACAUGGUUGGAAUCUUUGAGAGAUCAGAGAGUGCUCGCAAGAGAACCAAUACACAGGUGCUGCAUGGCUGUCGUCAGCUCGUGUCGUGAGAUGUUGGGUUAAGUCCCGCAACGAGCGCAACCCUUGUCAUUAAUUGCCAUCAUUUAGUUGGGCACUUUAAUGAGACUGCCGGUGACAAACCGGAGGAAGGUGGGGAUGACGUCAAGUCCUCAUGGCCCUUAUGGGUAGGGCUUCACACGUCAUACAAUGGUACAUACAGAGGGUUGCCAAGCCGCGAGGUGGAGCUAAUCCCAGAAAGUGUAUCGUAGUCCGGAUUGGAGUCUGCAACUCGACUCCAUGAAGUUGGAAUCGCUAGUAAUCGCGGAUCAGCAUGUCGCGGUGAAUACGUUCCCGGGCCUUGUA